UACGUAGGGUGCGAGCGUUAAUCGGAAUUACUGGGCGUAAAGCGUGCGCAGGCGGCUUUGCAAGACAGGUGUGAAAUCCCCGGGCCUAACCUGGGAACUGCAUUUGUGACUGCAUAGCUAGAGUCCGUCAGAGGGGGGUGGAAUUCCACGUGUAGCAGUGAAAUGCGUAGAGAUGUGGAGGAACACCGAUGGCGAAGGCAGCCCCCUGGGAUGAGACUGACGCUCAUGUACGAAAGCGUGGGGAGCAAACAGG
rnacentral:rRNA from 1 species